rnacentral:rRNA from 1 species
AGUGAACGCUGGCGGUAGGCCUAACACAUGCAGGUCGAACGGCAGCACAGUAAGAGCUUGCUCUUACGGGUGGCGAGUGGCGGACGGGUGAGGAAUACAUCGGAAUCUACUUUUUCGUGGGGGAUAACGUAGGGAAACUUACGCUAAUACCGCAUACGACCUACGGGUGAAAGCAGGGGAUCUUCGGACCUUGCGCGAUUGAAUGAGCCGAUGUCGGAUUAGCUAGUUGGCGGGGUAAAGGCCCACCAAGGCGACGAUCCGUAGCUGGUCUGAGAGGAUGAUCAGCCACACUGGAACUGAGACACGGUCCAGACUCCUACGGGAGGCAGCAGUGGGGAAUAUUGGACAAUGGGCGCAAGCCUGAUCCACCCAUACCGCGUGGGUGAAGAAGGCCUUCGGGUUGUAAAGCCCUUUUGUUGGGAAAGAAAAGCAGCAGGUUAAUACCCCGCUGUUCUGACGGUACCCAAAGAAUAAGCACCGGCUAACUUCG